rnacentral:rRNA from 1 species
AUAUUGGGCAAUGGACGCAAGUCUGACCCAGCCAUGCCGCGUGCAGGAUGACUGCCCUAUGGGUUGUAAACUGCUUUUGUUUGGGAAGAAACCCCCGAUCGUGAUCGGGGCUGACGGUACCCAUACGAAUAAGCAUCGGCUAACUCCGUGCCAGCAGCCGCGGUAAUACGGAGGAUGCAAGCGUUAUCCGGAUUCAUUGGGUUUAACGGGUGCGCAGGCGGAAUAUUAAGUCAGUGGUGAAAUCCUGCAGCUUAACUGUAGAACUGCCAUUGAUACUGAUAUUCUUGAAUAUAGUUGAGGUAGGCGGAAUGUGUAAUGUACCGGUGAAAUGCUUAGAUAUUACACAGAACACCAAUUGCGAAGGCAGCUCACUAAACUAAUAUUGACGCUGAGGCACGAAAGCGUGGGUAGCAAACAGGAUUAGAUACCCUGGUAGUCCACGCUGUAAACUAUGAUCACUCGCUGUUGGCAAUACAUCGUCAGCGGCUGAGCGAAAGCAUUAAGUGAUCCACCUGGGGAGUACGGUCGCAAGAUUGAAACUCAAAGGAAUUGACGGGGGCCCGCACAAGCGGAGGAACAUGUGGUUUAAUUCGAUGAUACGCGAGGAACCUUACCUGGGCUUAAAUGCAGAGCGACGUCCGCCGAAAGGUGGAUUCCUUCGGGCGAUCUGCAAGGUGCUGCAUGGUUGUCGUCAGCUCGUGCCGUGAGGUGUCGGGUUAAGUCCCAUAACGAGCGCAACCCUUAUCGUUAGUUGCCAGCGGGUAAUGCCGGGGACUCUAACGAAACUGCCGGUGUAAACCGUGAGGAAGGUGGGGAUGACGUCAAAUCAGCACGGCCCUUAUGUCCAGGGCUACACACGUGUUACAAUGGUCGGUACAGAGGGCAGCUACCACGCGAGUGGAUGCUAAUCUCGAAAACCGGUCUCAGUUCGGAUUGAAGUCUGCAACUCGACUUCAUGAAGCUGGAUUCGCUAGUAAUCGCGCAUCAGCCAUGGCGCGGUGAAUACGUUCCCGGGCCUUGUACACACCGCCCGUCAAGCCAUGGAAGCUUGGGGUACCUGAAGUCCGUAAC